CGGGUGGUGCAGUAUCCUAGUCGGUGCCGCCGCCUCCCAGGACGGGCCUAAAAAUCCGUCAAGGGCACAUCGAUGAAGCUCCUGGUGCUGGCUUUCGACGCCCAGUCGGGGGUUGGUGCUGGGAGUCAAGGGAGUGGGGCAGCCUACAAUGGCAUGUAGGCGCGGACCCUGCUCCCGCGGAGGCCUAAGUGCGUGGUUCGCUUCGAAAGGGGCGAACUAUGGCUUAGGGACAACCUGUAUGCGGUACCGGGGUGGUGCUGUGUACAGCGUAGCCUGCCUUGAGCGGUCUGGGCGGAGGUCGCUUCAAUGGUGGACACCUACGGGCCCGGGUGGACCGAUGGCAACGCGGCCGAAAUCCAGUCCGCAAAAGAGGCUAAGGGGCGGUCAGGUGCUGUCGAGGAAAGCUCCUAGGCUGUUCCGGAAGGAGGCGGGGUGGGGAUUACAGUGCGGGCUAAGUGGCAAUCUAGCACCGCAGAUGGCGACACUGCGGGACGACCAUAAAGGGAAACCGCCGGGGCAGCGAUGCGCCGGAGGUCGUCCGGGAAAGCCUGCUAGACCUAAGCCGCAACAUUUACCCAUCCCGCUACCACCC
rnacentral:sRNA from 1 species